ensembl:lncRNA
CUGUUUAUCUUCCUCGCUCUCCUCUUUCUCCUCCUGUUUAUCUUCCUCGCUCUCCUCUUUCUCCUCCUGUUUAUCUUCCUCGCUCUCCUCUUUCUCCUUCUGUUUAUCUUUCUCACUCUCCUCUUUCUCCUUCUGUUUAUCUUUCUCACUCUCCUCUUUGUCCUUCUUGCUCUCCUCUUUCUCAACCCCCCACACGCUUUCUUUCUUGCCCCCCUUCUUCCCCAGGUCUCUCUUCUUCCCAUACAGCCUCUCCUGGAUCCUGUCGUUCAGUCGGCCCAACUCUUCCACCCCCAGAUCCAGCCCAACAGUCUGCAGCAGGCUCUGGAUCUGUCCGUACUUCUGCUCAUCCUCAGGCCUCAUUUUCCUCUUCUCCUCCACCUGUGGAGACAUGGACUUAAGCCUCUCUUUCCUCUUCUCCUCAACAGGUGGAGACAUGGACUUAAGCCUCCCUUUCCCCUUCUCCACAACAGGUGGAGACAUGGACUUAAGCCUCUCUUUCCUCUUCUCCUCAACAGGUGGAGACAUGGACUUAAGCCUCCCUUUCCUCUUCUCCUCAACAGGUGGAGACAUGGACUUAAGCCUCUCUUUCCUCUUCUCCUCAACAGGUGGAGACUUGGACUUAAGCCUCCCUUUCCUCUUCUCCUCAACAGGUGGAGACUUGGACUUAAGCCUCCCUUUCCCCUUCGGCUCAACAGGUGGAGACUUGGACUUAAGCCUCCCUUUCCUCUUCUCCUCAACAGGUGGAGACUUGGACUUAAGCCUCCCUUUCCUCUUCUCCUCAACAGGUGGAGACUUGGACUUAAGCCUCCCUUUCCUCUUCUCCUCAACAGGUGGAGACUUGGACUUAUGCCUUCCUUUCCCCUUCGGCUCAACAGGUGGAGACUUGGACUUAAGCCUCCCUUUCCUCGUCUCAUCCACCUGUGUAGACUUGGGCUUUUUGUUUUUUGGGCUAUCCAUAGCCUGGAUGAAGCCUAAGCUAAGGCUAUGUUGCCCAAUCUCUCCUCCUCCAUUUUGUAAGAGACUGCGGUGCUGUGGCAGAACGUUACCUGCUUGGGCCACUUGACGCAACAGAUCCCCAAACGGAUUGGGCUGAACCCCGAGUAGUGUGGGCUGACCCCAGAGUAUAUUGAACGAACCUUGUGGGAACUCAUCAAAUCGGGAGCGCCUUUUGCGAGAGGGCACCUUCCUCUCAUUCUUAGAGUUGGUCUCGGGCUGGCCAUGAAGUGGAGGCGGCUGACCUUGUGGCAGCUCCUCUCCCAUAGAGGGUAAAUCCUUGAAAUUGUUGACAAUCUUUGAGAGCCUGUCGAUGUCCACCCCUUUGUUGAGGACAUCGAGGAAGUGCUGGAAGCCCUUGGCUGCUUUGUCC